CCACCGAUGUCACUCGGUGAAUCUAGGAGUCUUAUAAAGAGCGACUCUGACAACGUAACGAAGCGCCGCAAGGUGCGGGAUAUAAAUCGUGAGAAGCAUAUCCCUCUGGCAGCCACAGCUGGAAUAGUGC
rfam:Environmental sequence ctg15790, whole genome shotgun sequence.